rnacentral:tRNA from 1 species
AACAAGGUAGGUUAAGGAAUAAAGAAAGACCGUUGAUUUGUGGUGUCAAAGGUAUAAAUAUUGGAUUCUUGUUA